GCUUUCUAUAGGUCCUGCCAGCUCUGGCAUUUGGUAGUAGGGUGUGUUAGCCCACAUCUCUAGUGACCUUGGGCAAGUCCCUGCUCAUCUUGGAGGUUCUGAUCCUCACUGCACCUGACUUGGGAGCAGCAUCCACAGGACUCUUUGUGAAUGACAGAGCCAGCUGCUUCCACUUCCCUCUGCUCCACCUCUGCAGAAUGCAGUACAAAUAACCAGCAUAAGAUGUCUUAUAAGCUGUUCCCACUCAUAGCUUCCAUUCAAACGGGCGCAAACCUGCCCAAGGCAAGUGUCAGAUGCCCAGUGCAGCGAAGUCUAGUUAUUAAAGCUCCAUCCC
rnacentral:lncRNA from 1 species